UACAGAGGGGGCAAGCGUUAUUCGGAAUUAUUGGGCGUAAAGGGCGCGUAGGCGGCUUUUCAAGUGACGGGUGAAAUCCCUCGGCUUAACCGAGGAACUGCCUGUCAGACUGGAAGGCUUGAGACCGGGAGAGGUGAGUGGAAUUCCCAGUGUAGCGGUGAAAUGCGUAGAUAUUGGGAGGAACACCAGUGGCGAAGGCGGCUCACUGGACCGGUACUGACGCUGAGGUGCGAAAGCGUGGGGAGCAAACAGG
rnacentral:rRNA from 1 species